rnacentral:lncRNA from 1 species
CCUAUAAAGAAAAAAAUAUAUAUAUAGAGAGAAAUAACAAAAGAAACUAUCCAAAGGGAAACAUAAAGAAAAAAUUAAAAUAAAAAGGAAAGAGAAAAAGGAAUAGACUAAUGGUUAAUUAUGGAACAGUUUCAAGAAAAAUAUACCUGUAAUUUUUUAAGUCCCCGGAGGAAAGAAGUUUAAAAUGUGUAUUUGAACAAAUAGUGGCUGAAAUUUUCCAAAUGAUGAAAAUCUUAACCCUUAGAUCUGAUAUGCUCAACAAUCUUUAAUCAUAAGAAACAUGAAGAAAAUGACAUCACAAUACAUAAUAAUCAAGUGACUUAAAACUGGUGAUUUUAAAGAAAAACUAAAUUUUCAAAAGAAAAUCCUUUUUUUUUCCCCCCUCUUUCUGUCUUUUUAGGGCUGCAUUUGCAGCAUGUGGAAGUUCCCAGGCUAGGUGUAAAAUCCAAGCUGCAGCUGCUGGCCUACAUCACAGCCACAACACCAGAUCCAAGCCACAUGUCUGCAACCUACACUGCCCCUUGAGGCAAUGCCAGAUCAUUUAACCCACUGAGCAAGGCCAGGAAUGGAACCUUCAUCCUCAUGGAUACUAGUCAGCUGCUUAGCCCACUGAGGCACAACAGUAACUUCUCAAAAGAAAAUCUUGGAAGCAGCCAUGGGGAAGAAAAAGAAGAAAGACAUGUUAUGUAUAGAGAGACAAAAUAAGAACAACAGCAGAUUUCUUUUCAAAAAACAAUUUAAGGCAUAUAAUAAAUCAGCACCUUUAAGGUACUGUAAGAAAAAAUUAGAAUUCUAUACCCAGCAAAAAUACCUUUCAAAAAUGAAAGUGAGAUACUUUUUCAGAGAUUUAAAAGCUGAAACAAUUCAUUAUCAGAUUUGUGGUACAAGGAGUGCUUAAAAAAAGUCCUUCAUAAAGAAGGACAAUGACACCUGAUAGAAAUGUGGAUCUACAAAUAAAGGGUACUGGAAAUGCCAAUUGCAUGGGUAAAUAUAUUGGUUUUUUUUUUUUUCUUAUUACUUAAAAAAAUUUUUUUUUUGGCUGCGCCUGUGGCACGUGGAAGUUCCUGGGAUCGAGCCUAUGAGGCAGUUUGCAACCUGUGCCACAGCUGUGGCAAUGUCAGUUUCUUAACAUGCCAAAAGGGAAUGUCCCUUAUUAUUGAAAUUUUUAAAAAGUUAAGUGAUUAAACAAAAUAAAUAAUAAUGUAUUUUUGAAAUUAUUCACAUGUAGAACUAAAAUUUAUGACAAAAAUAGCACAAAGGCUGGGAGUGGAGAAAUGGAAAUAUCCAGUUGUAAAGUUCUGAUGCUAUAUGUGAAGUGGAAUAAUAUUACUGGAAGGUAGGCAAUGAUAAGUUAGAGAUGAAUACGAUAAGCCCUUAAACUACCACUAAAACAAUACUAAGACUUUUAGAUAAUAAGCUGGAAAUAGAGAAAUAAAUGGAAUCAUAGAAAAUAAUUAACCCAAAGGAAGUCCAAGAAAGAGGAAAAGAGAACCAAGGACCAAUGUGACAAACACAAAACAAAUAUCAAGAUGGCAGAUUUAACCUAACCCCAGCAGUAAUCACAUUAAAUGCAGUUGGUUUAACCUAAUAUAGGACAUUAUAAACACACAAGUAUUUUUUUUGCCACAGUCCUCUCUCCCUUUCUUAAAUAACAGAACUCCUGAGUUUUACCUUUGUGUACAAUUGCCCAAUGGAGACGACAUUUCCUAGCUACCCGUGUAGCCUAUGUAGCCAUAUGACUAAGUCUUGGCCAAGGAACCAUAAGCUCAGGUGUUCUGUACCACCUCUAGGAUGUGUCAUUGUGCACUGCUUGCUUUUUCCCCUUUUGAUGGCUGGAAAAUGGGGGGCGGGGGUACAGGAACAGCCACCUCGGACUAUACUGUAAUUAGAUGAAGAAGCAACAUGUCGAGGUAGACAAGGGUACCUAUCAGCCUUCAACGACAUACCUCUGAACUGGUUGUAUUUACGCUACUUUUUUCAUUUACCCCACAUCAUACUUUGAGACAAGGACUUGGAUGCAGUUAAUUUAUUUGGGAAGUCAUCCUAGGAAGCAAAGGCAAAAGAGGAAAGGCAAUAAUGGAUGCAUUAAUGUGUGGGUAACUUGCUGUGGGCACAUGCCAUUGGGGACUCUCAGAAAAACAUCUCAGAAUCAUUCGGCAGUAAGCUGGGAUUCUGGGACUUUUAUUGACAGAUUCCCUUACCCAAUGGGUGAGGUAAGGGAAUCUGUCUCCUUCUUAGAGUAUUAACUCUUAGAACUGUCAGUGGUCCAAGAACCACCUUCAUGUGGUGCUGUAGAUGAAGUCCUCAGCAGAAUGGGCUGGCACCAAGAGUGUCUGAGUACUAUAACAUUAUUCUCAUAAGUAUGUUUUCUCAUGUAAAAGCAGCCCAGCUGUCACAAUUAAAAUGGGGCAUUUCUGAUAAGAAAGUUAUAAUUAUUUACUAAUUUGCUUCUGACAUAUAGGAUUCUACCAUUUCAAAAAAUAUUGCAGAAUCAAUAAUUCUGUGUUAUGGAGUAAGAAUAAACUCUAUAUUACAGACUGACUUGUUGAUGUCAACUAUACUUCACAAAUUUGGUGUGAAAAUAUUGACUUAUGGCCUUCAUAAUUUUAGGGAUUACCAAUUGUCUCAAUAUUUGAUUAAACUUCCGAAGUCUGGUUGAUCAUUUUUUCAGUAUAUAUUAUGGAUAUUCUGGCAUCAUGGGUUAACUAAUUUUACCUUAAGUUCCCAGGCUCUUUACUUGUUCGUUACCUUACAAAUUCCCAGACAUCAUACCUUAAAUAUUUUUACUAGUAAGUGUAAUAUCUGUUUUAUGUUGAGGGAAUAAGUUAUGUGCCCAGUACGUGUCCUUUGGCUUCUCAUUUAAUGCACAGUAGGUGUAAAUUAAUAUAUCACAGCACAGCUUUUCUGAAGGCUAUUAACUAGACUGUGCCUACAGCUGGUUUGCAGUAGAGAAAAUGCUCUUCUAAAAGAGCCACCACUUUGUGCUUGUGUUUGAAACUUUAAGAUUUCUGUCUUGGAUGUACCAUAUGUUUUACAGCUUCUACUUUGUAGAGCUUUUAAGAGAGGUGUUGGAGAAGUUUAAGAGUUUCAGGUAAGAAAUUGUUUAUUUUUACAUUGCUAAUAAUUAGGAAGUUAAUUUUUUAUUACCAAGGUUUGAAAACUAUGUAUUUUGGGGAGAUGUUAAUAUAAAAUCUGAUAAACAUUUCAAGGUCAUUUUGAGGGGUAUGAAGAGUGCUAAAAAGUUUUUUAAAUUAUAUUUUUCAAAAAGAAUGUAAGUGGAAAUUAAAGACUAUCAUUCAAAAAUGAAUGACUUUUUAUUUUUGAAAGACAUUUAAUUUAAUAUUUUUAGUGUUCUGAUGUAAUUAAUGUUUUAACAUUUAAAGACAACAACUGGAUGUACCAUCCAGGUCAGUUUUAACACAUUCAAGAUUCUAGAAGUUAUAUUAUACAAUUAUCCUCUGCAUUACAAUAAGGGUGUCAAAAUCCAGUACCUCUGGAUUCCAUAGCUAAUGCCCAAAUCAGAAACUCAACAGCUAUACAACUAAGGUAAACACUUCCAAUGGCAAGAAUAACAUGGAGGAAUAUAUGAUCAAGUCUUUUGUGAUGACUGUGGAUGAAAUCAUAUUUAUUUACAGUGUAUAUGCUUUACAGUCGUAGAAUAAUGCUGCAAAAUAAGCUUUUGGGAAAAGAAUUAUUUCUACAUACUGUUUAUAGGAGUAUCAGUUUGUGUAAACUUAUACACAGGGUAAUUUGGUAAUAUCUCUUAACAGUUAAAAUACAUAUGCCUUUGGUCCAGCAAUUUUAUUGCUAAGAAUUCAUCCUACUUGAAUAUACAAAUAUAUAUAUGUACAUGCAAGAUCAUUUCAGUAGAUUGUAAUGUAAGAAAUGGAAGGAACUUAUAUAUCAAUAGGAAAUUGUUAAGUAAAUAAUAGUUCAAUUGUACAUGAAAUAAUAUUUACUUAUUACCAUGAAUGAAUUUUACUUUUAUGUGUCACCAUGAAGGUCUUCCAAUAUAUAUUUUUAAGAGAGAAAAGAUAAAGCAGUGGAUAUGUUACUCAUAUGCAUAGAUAUGUACAGGUACUUGUUUUCUUGUAUAUGUCUCCAAAAUUUUUAUAAUGAGACCCAAGGAAUUAAUUUUGCAUUCAGAGAGUAGGACUUGGGGUUAGAGUAGAGAGAGAUAUUUAUUUUUUAUUUUACUACCGUAAGUCUAUUUGAAUUUAUUUUAAAAAUUAUGUGCAUAAGUUGUUUUUAAACAAUUACAUUAAAAAAUAAAAUUGAAAAAUAAAACUAUUUUAUAGACCCCCAACUUAAUUUGAUAGUGAAACUAUGGAGAAACAUAUCACAAAGGUUCAUUGCCAUCCUAAUAUUUUUCAAAUACACUAACUCCAAAGAAUGACAGGGUACGUUGAUACUUGAUAAUUUUUUGUUCUCUCUGAUUUUGCCUCUUUUCAUUUGGUUUGAUUUAAUUAUUUAUUUAGUUUGGUAUUUUAAGAGAGUAGUCAGUUGUCCAGUUCCUUUUCUUAUAAAUAACACUGUUUUACCAAAAUUCUUUUUUUAUAUACACUAUAGCCAAACUUAGCAAGAAUGAUUUAGUAUUUUUCCAUCAGUAAAUUGUUAUAAGUUGAUAUAAAACAUUCAAUGAUACAAAAGCCACAGGCAGAUUCCAUCCUGGCAUAUUCUCCAUUGCGAGUACAAGGAGAUGGGGGCAGGAGUGGGGUUGGGAAAGAGUUGCUGUAGGAUUUGCUGGCAGCUGCCUCCGGUUCCUGUCUUUCCUUACUUCACUUAAUCUCUGAGAAUGAGGCCUAAGUAUGAUAUAGAUAAGCUUUCUCAAAAAGUUCUUCAUCAAGAAGACUCCUUGCUUUGUUCCCCAAGCUGCAAGGAUGUUUUGAGAACCAGCUCUAGUUCAGAAGGGGAGGCUUGUUUUUUAAAUGCAACUUUUAUUAGAGAAGUAUUUAAAAAUAUAUUUAUUAUAAUUUAUAGUUUAGAAAGAGUUGAAAAGUAUAAAGAUGCAAAUGUCAAUCUUUCUACCCAUUUAUCAGUCGAACAUUCAAAUUCCAUCUUACAGGGGCAAUUGUUAGAUUACUAUUCAGUAUUUUGGUGGAUUUUAUAAAAACAUAACUAAGGGGGGUUCCUGUCAUGGCCCAGUGGAAACAAAUCUGACUAGUAGCCAUGAGGGUGUGGGUUUGAUCCCUGGCCUCGCUCAGUGGGUUAAGGAUCCAGUGUUGCUGUGAGCUGUGGUGUAGAUAGCAGACGCAGCUCAGAUCAGAUCUGAUGUUGCUGUGGCUGUGUCAUAGGCCGACAGGUACAGCUCCGAUUGGAGCCCUAGCCUGGGAAUCUCCUUAUGCUGCAGGCACAGCCCUAAAAAGACAAAUACACACACACACACACACACACACACACACACACACACACACACACACACACAGCUAGGGAGUUCUCUUGUGGCUCAGUAGGUUAAGGAUCAGGUGUUGUCACUGCAGCAGUUCAGGUUGCUGCUAUGGCCCAAGUUUAGUCCCUGGCCUGGAAACUCUCACAUGCCAUAGGCGUGGCCAAGUAAUCCCCAACAUGGCUGCAUUACAUGUUAUCAAUCUUAUAGUUUGGUUUGGUUUGGUUUGGUUUGGUUUUGGCCACUCCCACAGCAUGUGGAAUUUCCUAGGCCAGGUAUCAAACCUGCACUACAGCAGCGACCUGAGCCCCUGCAGUGGCAAUGCUGGAUCCCUAACCCACUGCACUGCAAGAGAACUCCAUCUUUUUGUUUAAACUAUUAUAUCCUCUCAUUGUUAAAAAUUUUUCCUAAACAUAAUUUUCACAGCUGCUUAAUAUUCCAUUCUGAAUGUAUCAUAUUUUGUACAGUCAUUCAUCUAAAUUUAAAUAAAGUCAAAUUUAUUAAAAAUUUAGUUUUUACAAGGACUGCUACUACAAACUUCUUUUUGUAAUAAUUCUCAAGUUCCUUGUUGGCUCAGUGGUUUAAGGAUCUGGCAUUGUUACUGCUAUGGCUCUGGUUACUGCUGUGGUUUGUGUUCCAUCCUUGUCCCGGGAACUUCUAUGUGUCAUGAGCGUGGCCAAAAAAUAAAUAAAUAAAAUAAAAUAAAUUAAAAUGAAAAAAUCUCAUUUAUUGUUCUGAUAAUUAUUUUGUUUACUUUUCCUUUUUGAAAUUUUUGUGCGUAUUUUGGAAUGAAGUGACCAUUUAAAGUUUUUUCAAGUUUCACAUGUACUCAAGUAGGCAAACUAACCAUCUGUGAUAAUUCAAGAGUAUUCGGAGAUUUCGGGGUACCUUGAACUGGUAGCAUUCACAGCUCUUUGUGUGUAUCUCUGCAUGAUG